rnacentral:lncRNA from 9 species
UUUUUUUUUUUUUUUUUGGCUACACCCAUGGCAUAUGGAGGUUCUCAGGCUAGGUGUUGAAUUAUAGCUAAAGCUGCCAGCCUUCACCACAGCCACAGCAAUGCCAGAUCUGAGCCACAUCUGCAACCUACACCACAGCUUAAGGCAACGCUGGAUCCUUAACCCACUGAUCGAGGCCAGGUCUCAAAUCCACUUCCUCAUAGAUACUAGUCAGAUUGAUUUCUGCUGAGCCACUACAGGAACUCCUGAGCCACGAAGGGAACUCCAGAAACAUGAAGGACCUCGAAUAGCCAAAGUGAUCCUGAGAAAGAAAAACAGAGCUGGAGGAAUCAGGCUCCUCAACUUCAGACUAUACUACAAAGCUAGCGUCAUCAAAAUAAUAUGCGUACUGGCACAAAAUGAGAAAUAUAGAUCAGUGGAAUAGGAUGGAAAGCCCAGCGAUAAACACACUUACAGUCAACUAAUCUCUGAGAAAGAAGGCAAGCAUAUACAAUGGAAAAAAGACAGUCUCUUCAGUAAGUGGUGCUGGGAAAACUGGACAGCUACAUGUAAAACAACGAAAUUAGAACAUUAUAUAACACCACACAAAAAUAAACUCAAAGUGGAUUAAGGACCUAAACAUAAGGCCUGAUACUAUGAAACUCAGAGAAAAACAGGCAGAACACUCUGACAUAAACUGCAACAAUGUCUUCUCAGAUCUACCUCCUAGAGUAAUGAAAAUAAAAGCAAAAAUAAACAAAUGGGACCUAAUCAAAUUUAAAAGCUUCUGCACAGCAAAGGAAUCUAUAACCAAAUGAAAAGAAAACCCGCAAAAUGGGAGAAACUUUUUGCAAAUGAAGCAACUGGCAAGGGAUUAAUCUCCAAAAUAUACAAACGCCUCAAGUAGCUUUAUAUCAAAAAACCAAAAACACGAUUAAAAAAUGGUCAGCAACAUGGAUGGAACUAGAGACUGUCAUACUGAGUGAAAUGAGCCAGAAAGACAAAGACAAAUACCAUAUGAUAUCACUUAUAACUGGAAUCUAAUAUCCAGCACAAAUGAACAUCUCCUCAGAAAAGAAAAUCAUGGACUUGGAGAAGAGACUUGUGGCUGCCUGAUGGGAGGGGGAGGGAGUGGGAGGGAUCGGGAGCUUGGGCUUAUCAGACACAACUUAGAAAUAGAUUACAAGGAGAUCCUGCUAAAUAGCAUUGAGAACUUUGUCUAGAUACUCAUGUUGCAACAGAAGAAAGGGUGGGGCAAAAAAAUGUAAAUGUAAUGUAUACAUGUAAGGAUAACCUGACCCCCUUGCUGUACAAUGGGAAAAUAAAAAAAUUAAAAUAAAUAAAUAAAUAAAUCUAAAAAUGGAACUACCAUAUGAUACAGCAAUCCCUCUUCUGAUCAUCUACCUGGGGAAAACCAUACUUUGAAAAGAUAUGUGCACCCCAGUGUUCAUUGAAGCACUAUUUCCAAUAGUCAAGACUUGGAAGUUAUCUAAAUGUUGAUCAACAGAGGAUUGGUUAAAGAAGAUAUGGUACAUAUCUACAAUGGAAUAUUACUCAGCCGUAAAGAAGAAUGGAAUAAUGCCAUUUGCAGCAACAUGGAUAGACCAAGAGAUUAUCAUAUUAAGUGAAGUAAGUCAGAGAAAGACAUAUAUCAUGUGAGAUUACAACCAUGUGGAACCUAAUAAAAAUGAUCAAAGAACUUAUAGAACUGAAACAGACUCAAAGAUUUAGAGACCAAACUAAUAGCUGCCACAGGGGAAACAUGGUAGGGCAGGAUAAAUUAGGAGGUUGGGAUUAACAUAUACUGGAUAAGUAACAAGGACCUACUGUAUAGCACAGGGAAAUCUACUCAAUAUUUUGUAAUAACCUAUAUAGGAAAAUAAUCUGAAAAAAGAAUGGCUAUUUGUGUAUGUAAAACUGAUUCACUUUGCUGUACACCUGAAACUAACACAACAUUGUAAGUCAAAUAUUCUCCAAUAAAAAAUUUUUGUAAGAGAUUCCAGAAAAUUCUCUUAAAGAUAGAAUAAAUAGGCAAAAAACUAAUUAACCUGACAGGACAGCAAACUUAACCAGCACUACAGAAUGAGACAGUAUCAUCUGAAUCAUGAUGAAACAAAUAGAUUUGGGGUCAGUUAAGCUCUCUGGGUCAGAUUCCUCCCUGAGAGAGACCCCCAUAGAUGCUUUCUAGAAUUUCUUGCAAUUCUAAGAUCCUCGCUUAUCUGUGCAAUUAAUUUCUUAUGUCAACGUGGUGCUAUGCUGCCAGGUCAACCACAGACUUGCCUGUAAGAUAUGUAGGCUAUUGCUCAUUCUUCUUAGAAAUGUACACUUAGAACUACAAAAGAAAAAAAGGGAAAUUAAAUGUUUGACCUGUGCCUGGUAUGUCAUUUGAUCAGAACAAGACUCUACUUGCAUAAUUGACAGGCUUUGAUAUGCAGGACUCAUCCUUUGGGUUUGUAAUACAAUUUCUAUCACUAAAAGAAUGAGGGGACAGGACUACUAAAGGAGGAACAGAAGAGAGAAAAGUAAUAAACCAAAGCCUGGCGAGUCACAGCGUGGCUGUCUUGGAGCAUUUAAUGGGCAGCCCUGGGUCACCUAGACUUCAGCCCAACUCAUGGGUAUCAGUGAUGACUGCUCCCACCAUAUCCACACUUAGGGGCUCUUGUGUCCAGAAUAAGCCUUCUGCCCACAGGUCAAGUGUGGGUGUCUGCUUCCCUGGGUCUUUUGUUCAAAGUUGAAAAAGAAAGUUCGACUUCCACUCUUACCAUUCCUCACACUGUAAGGGGCAGAGCUAGACUCAAAAGGAGCAAAUACUAUUCCCAAAUAUUUCUUUAGUCAUUGUGCUUCAACUCCUGAUUUAUUUGUUUAAACAGCACGGUUAAUCUGAAGCUAGCAGCCACUGCCCCUUUGGUGUGAUCAGAAGUCUCUCUUCUGAACAACUUACUAAAGCUGGGUUGAUAUGUGGCACCCAAUGGAGCAAGCGUUUUGGGGGUCAGGGGAUAGAAGAGGGUAAAAUUUGUUACAAUAAGUGGUCAGGAAUUGCGGAGUAUCAGUGUGAGAAGAAAAAGAAGGAAACAAAAGAAGAUUUGAAACCCUGAUUUAUUUUGACCACUGUCAGUCCUA